GUCCUUUCGAUGUGACGAGGCGUCCAGAGUUGAAUGGGUAUUCAGACCAUUUUCUAAUGACAACACUCUCGUUUAACCUGGAAGAAGUUUGGAGAUUGGAAUCCGGCGGACUUUGAUUAAAACCAGCACUUCCACUGACGAGGAAGCGCUGAACGUAAAGAUAAAUCU
rnacentral:rRNA from 1 species